ACUUAAAUAAUUUAAUACAAAAUAUUGAUUUGUGGAGUCAAAAAUAUGAAAUUUCAUUUUAGGUU
rnacentral:tRNA from 1 species